AUUCUAGUCAUGGAGAGAUUGGCCUGCCACCUGAUGCAAAUGUUAUAUACAAGGAUGCAACAGGGACAGAAGUUGAUGGAGAAAUAUUCAGCGAACUCGUUGGACAAGGCAAUGUGGUCCUGACAGUUUUCUCGGAUCAGGAAUUCUCUGAUCUCUCCUUGUCUUCUGAGACGUCUGACUCAAGCUUCAGCUCAAGUGCAUCAACUAUAAUCCUAGAUGUUCCUAACAAGAGACAAAGAAUUGAGGAUACACGUGACGCUGUGUCUGCUAAACAGUUGAUAGAGGCUGUGCUAAGAGGCAAGUCCGGAGGUGAAGAAGUACUACAGGAGUACCAAACAACAGAAACCCUAACAGAUGCUGCAAGAAGACAAAUGGUUAAUAUCCUGGUGGCUCACAUGAUUGACAAUCAUGGGCACUGCCCCACUAAAACAAUCAGAGAAGAUUAUGCAUGUGGGAUAGUGAUGCUGUUCCCUUCCCUCAAGGAUCCAUACUCCAAGAAGGGCUAUGAACACUUCUAUGAUGCUGCAAGCAGCACAGGAUACAUUUCUUGGCGUCUGAAAACAUUCCAGAGGAAGAUUCGUCAAGGAUCUGCACAGCCACCAAAUAGCCAAAUUGACUUUUCUCCAGGAGGCCCAAAUUGCCAAAGGACUGUUAAUGUUGAAGGGCAGCUUGAUGGUGAUGCUUGCCAAGAGGCCAUGUCUUUGCUUAACCAUGCAGCUGACAAUUCCCUGAUUUUCCAGAAGAUGAGAGACACCUUUCAGCAUCGUCAGAAGCUUGUUAAUGACCCAGGCAGAAGUGUUGAUAUACUCUCCAGCUUCCCAAGAUUCCUGGAUGCAAAAGGGUUGGUAAGUUUGGGAUGAGAUGUUUGGAGUGGCUUGAUAUUUGAAAGUAUUUCCAGUAGUAGUAGAAGUUGUUUAAUAUCUUCUUUCCUAAAGGUGGACCAAGACUUCACUCUCCUAUUUGACGAAGACACAUCCUCCAGGCUUCUUCAGAAAUGGGAUUUGGUCUUCAAGACAAAUGUCAUUAAAGAGGCUAAGCGACUCACCUCAACACCAGAGUUGAGUCGCUUGGUGCAGUCAGCAGAAAGUCCCCCAGGAAGUGAUCUUGAUGAGGCAACAACCUACGACCAAGAAAUGGCCUCCCUGUUGUUGCUGUUACAUCUCCUUCCACCACCUUCAGGGGGACUGAAGUCUCCAAAAAUUAGUGCAUGUGAUGAAG